rnacentral:lncRNA from 1 species
AGUUCUUCCUGAAUCCUUCAGUCCCUACUUGGCACUUCCUUCAACCCUGAACUUCCAGCCCAGAGGCUGGGCUGCUCUUCCUCAGAGUCUCUUUCUUAGAUAAAACAGACAUUUUGGUCUUCUCCAUCUCUCUUCUUUUCCUUCUCUCUCUUCUCUCUCUACCCACACACCUUUUUUCUCUUUCUCUCCCCACACCCUCUCUCCCACUGGUGACUUGCCUGGCCUUAAUCCUUGGCAUCAGUAACUUUGCCCAAGAGUAACUUGACAGUAAGCCUACAUUUAAUACAAUCUAAUCUGGUUUAAAUUGUCUCCUUUCUUCAGCGGAGAAAUUGCCUAUCUACUAGGCUGAGCAUGCCAAGAACAGUAUGAAGGCCAAGCAAGGCCCAGGCCUUGCUGAAAAGAUAUUCUAGUUGGUCAUGGCAGCAUACAUCCUUAAUCCUGGAACUCCCUAGGCAGAGGCAAGUAGAUCUCUGUGAGUUUGAAGUCAGCCUGAUUUACAUAGAGAGCUCCAGGCCAGCCAAGGGUACACUGUGAGACCCUCUCUUAGAGGUGCACGAUGUAGGGGUUAAUGUUUGAUUAAAGUGAAAGUCUUGUGUUUCUGUUUUUGUUUUUUGUUUUUAAAGACAGUUAGCCCAGCGUGGCCUGGAAUUCAGCAAUGGUUCUGCCUCAGCUUUCUGAGUGCUGGGAUUGCAGAUGUGACCCACCACACUUGGCUAGGGAGUGUCUUUAUUACAAGUUGACUUUUUUGAUUGUAUAUUACACACUGUGAGUUGGCCCUUUAGAUAUUAAUGGUAAAGAAUGGUGUGUGUGUGUGUGUGUGUGUGUGUGUGUGUGUGUGUGUGUGUGUGUGUGACUAAUGGGGGAGGCCACAUGAGUACCUACCUGUAUGUGUAGAGGCCAACAAAAAUUUUAAAUGUUUCUUUGUGUCAGUUUAUGUGGUCAUGUGUGCAGGUACCUUCAGAGGCCAGAAGAGGACGCUGGAUCCCUGGAGCUGGAGCCAUAGGCAGUUGUGAAUCAUCUGACUUGGAAGCUGGAAACUGAAGUGAAGUUAAUCACUUUUGACAGAAUAACUCAUAGGUGGUAGAGGUGGCAUCAACUCCACAUGCUGCAAGUAGUCUCCAGCCACAGGAAGUCAAGACACAGGAAGUGCAAAGCCAGGUCCUACACUUACCUUCCUGGUGUCUUUAGCAAGGACUGCUGUAUCUCUGUGCUCAUUUCUCCUGAACUGGUUGACCCCUACGUCCCUAAAUGAUGUUUGGAGCAGAGGUGUGCAUGCUCUCUCUGUUUCUGUCUCUGUCUCUGUCUCUGUCUCUGUCCCUCCCUCCCUUCCUCCCUCUCUCCCCCUCUCUCC